rnacentral:rRNA from 1 species
AGCUACAGGCUUAACACAUGCAAGUCGACGGUCAGCAUGGUCUUAGCUUGCUAAGGCCGAUGGCGACCGGCGCACGGGUGAGUAACACGUAUCCAACCUGCCGUCUACUCUUGGACAGCCUUCUGAAAGGAAGAUUAAUACAAGAUGGCAUCAUGAGUCCGCAUGUUCACAUGAUUAAAGGUAUUCCGGUAGACGAUGGGGAUGCGUUCCAUUAGAUAGUAGGCGGGGUAACGGCCCACCUAGUCUUCGAUGGAUAGGGGUUCUGAGAGGAAGGUCCCCCACAUUGGAACUGAGACACGGUCCAAACUCCUACGGGAGGCAGCAGUGAGGAAUAUUGGUCAAUGGGCGAGAGCCUGAACCAGCCAAGUAGCGUGAAGGAUGACUGCCCUAUGGGUUGUAAACUUCUUUUAUAAAGGAAUAAAGUCGGGUAUGGAUACCCGUUUGCAUGUACUUUAUGAAUAAGGAUCGGCUAACUCCGUGCCAGCAGCCGCGGUAAUACGGAGGAUCCGAGCGUUAUCCGGAUUUAUUGGGUUUAAAGGGAGCGUAGAUGGAUGUUUAAGUCAGUUGUGAAAGUUUGCGGCUCAACCGUAAAAUUGCAGUUGAUACUGGAUAUCUUGAGUGCAGUUGAGGCAGGCGGAAUUCGUGGUGUAGCGGUGAAAUGCUUAGAUAUCACGAAGAACUCCGAUUGCGAAGGCAGCCUGCUAAGCUGCAACUGACAUUGAGGCUCGAAAGUGUGGGUAUCAAACAGGAUUAGAUACCCUGGUAGUCCACACGGUAAACGAUGAAUACUCGCUGUUUGCGAUAUACGGCAAGCGGCCAAGCGAAAGCGUUAAGUAUUCCACCUGGGGAGUACGCCGGCAACGGUGAAACUCAAAGGAAUUGACGGGGGCCCGCACAAGCGGAGGAACAUGUGGUUUAAUUCGAUGAUACGCGAGGAACCUUACCCGGGCUUAAAUUGCAGAUGAAUUACGGUGAAAGCCGUAAGCCGCAAGGCAUCUGUGAAGGUGCUGCAUGGUUGUCGUCAGCUCGUGCCGUGAGGUGUCGGCUUAAGUGCCAUAACGAGCGCAACCCUUGUUGUCAGUUACUAACAGGUUCUGCUGAGGACUCUGACAAGACUGCCAUCGUAAGAUGUGAGGAAGGUGGGGAUGACGUCAAAUCAGCACGGCCCUUACGUCCGGGGCUACACACGUGUUACAAUGGGGGGUACAGAGGGCCGCUACCACGCGAGUGGAUGCCAAUCCCAAAAACCUCUCUCAGUUCGGACUGGAGUCUGCAACCCGACUCCACGAAGCUGGAUUCGCUAGUAAUCGCGCAUCAGCCACGGCGCGGUGAAUACGUUCCCGGGCCUUGUACACACCGCCCGUCAAGCCAUGGGAGCCGGGGGUACCUGAAGUGCGUAACCGCGAGGAGCGCCCUAGGGUAAAACUGGUGAAAGG